ACGCUGACAGAAUGCUUAACACAUGCAAGUCUUUGGCGAAGCUGUGCUUGCACAGCCUAGCCAAGGCGGACGGGUGAGUAACGCGUAAGGAACUUGCCCUGCAGUCAGGGAUAACAGACGGAAACGACUGAUAAGACCUGGUAAAGUCAGGCGGACUCAUGUCCAGCCUGAUGAAAAGAGAUGCUGCAGGAGAGCCUUGCGUCCUAUUAGCUUGUUGGUGGGGUAACGGCCCACCAAGGCGAUGAUAGGUAGCCGGCCUGAGAGGGUGGACGGCCACAAGGGGACUGAGAUACGGCCCUUACUCCUACGGGAGGCAGCAGUGGGGAAUAUUGGACAAUGGGGGCAACCCUGAUCCAGCAAUUCUGUGUGCACGAUGAAGGUUUUCGGAUUGUAAAGUGCUUUCAGCAGGGAAGAAAAAAAUGACGGUACCUGCAGAAGAAGCGACGGCUAAAUACGUGCCAGCAGCCGCGGUAAUACGUAUGUCGCAAGCGUUAUCCGGAAUUAUUGGGCAUAAAGGGCAUCUAGGCGGCCAGAUAAGUCUGGGGUGAAAACUUGCGGCUCAACCGCAAGCCUGCCCUGGAAACUAUGUGGCUAGAGUACUGGAGAGGUGGACGGAACUGCACGAGUAGAGGUGAAAUUCGUAGAUAUGUGCAGGAAUGCCGAUGAUGAAGAUAGUUCACUGGACGGUAACUGACGCUGAAGUGCGAAAGCUAGGGGAGCAAACAGGAUUAGAUACCCUGGUAGUCCUAGCUGUAAACGAUGAUUACUGGGUGUGGGCAUGAAGAGUGUCCGUGCCGAAGCUAAUGCGAUAAGUAAUCCGCCUGGGGAGUACGGCCGCAAGGCUGAAACUCAAAGGAAUUGACGGGGACCCGCACAAGCGGUGGAGCAUGUGGUUUAAUUCGACGC
rnacentral:rRNA from 1 species